UACGUAGGGUGCAAGCGUUAAUCGGAAUUACUGGGCGUAAAGCGUGCGCAGGCGGUUUGGUAAGACAGAUGUGAAAUCCCCGGGCUUAACCUGGGAAUUGCAUUUGUGACUGCCCGGCUAGAGUUUGGCAGAGGGGGGUAGAAUUCCACGUGUAGCAGUGAAAUGCGUAGAUAUGUGGAGGAACACCGGUGGCGAAGGCGGCAUCCUGGACCGGCAUUGACGCUGAGGAGCGAAAGCCAGGGGAGCAAACGGG
rnacentral:rRNA from 1 species